CAGGGUGUGGCUGAGACACAACUUGGUCAGACUGCUGACACUACCUCUGAGUCAGGUUCCACAGCUGAUCCCUUUCAACAGAGACGUCUUCUAUAAGGAUAAGCUGGACUGCAGGGAAGCAAAGGGCUUUGUUCAUCGUAUACACCUCACUGAUGACCACCCCUUCCGGUUGCCUUAUUGACGAGUUACCACAGCGCAUUACCACAAAUUGAGGGAAGUGCUGUCUGAGUUGGAGUUGAAAGGCAUCAUCAGUAAGUCAGUCAAUGCCCACCCACUUCCGAUCCAGACUGACUGCCUUGCUGCCCUUGGUGGAAAUGCCUUUUUCACCACCAUGGAUCUCACAUCAGGGUUCUACAAUAUCCUCCUCUAUGAGUUUGACAAACAAUAC